rnacentral:rRNA from 1 species
UGGGGAAUAUUGCACAAUGGGCGCAAGCCUGAUGCAGCCAUGCCGCGUGUAUGAAGAAGGCCUUCGGGUUGUAAAGUACUUUCAGCGGGGAGGAAGGGAGUAAAGUUAAUACCUUUGCUCAUUGACGUUACCCGCAGAAGAAGCACCGGCUAACUCCGUGCCAGCAGCCGCGGUAAUACGGAGGGUGCAAGCGUUAAUCGGAAUUACUGGGCGUAAAGCGCACGCAGGCGGUUUGUUAAGUCAGAUGUGAAAUCCCCGGGCUCAACCUGGGAACGGCAUAUGAUACUGGCAAGCUUGAGUCUCGUAGAGGGGGGUAGAAUUCCAGGUGUAGCGGUGAAAUGCGUAGAGAUCUGGAGGAAUACCGGUGGCGAAGGCGGCCCCCUGGACGAAGACUGACGCUCAGGUGCGAAAGCGUGGGGAGCAAACAGG